GGCGCGGGGUUUGUGCAUGUGCGCUGUCUGCGCUGGGUGCCACGACCGCACACUGCUGAGCACUUGGUCCACUGGCUCCAUGUCGACCAGCCUCCAUUCACUGAAAAUUCACAAGAAAUUUAAAACAUACUUUGCACCCCUGUGAGUACCCUGACAAAAAAAAUAAACAUGAUGUGACCCAUGCCCCUGUGUGCGGCCCUCUCACCGCCAGAAGUAAAUCGGCAGGAUUUGUUGUGGCUGAUCGGAGGCGAAACAUUGGCACCAGUAUCCGUCCGAGCCGAAAUAUUCCUCAACAUCCUCUUUAGUUACGAUGUCACAGACACAAUGGUGAAGCAAUCAUCGGGCUUGUUGCAAACUGGCAACAGCAAGAAACAACUGUGCAAGACAUUGACAACAAGUGGCGAUUACAAUCUACAGUCAACUGUAGUUAGAAUGUGUUGAAUGCAAAUCAAUAGGAACUAUUGCAAUUUAUUUAAAUUUUGCUGCAAUAUCUGCUUUGAAUUUAUUGUUUGUGUAAUAAUUUUAUUAUAUCCAUGUGUUCAAGCCAAAAGAUGCCAAAAUUGAGACAUUACAAUGUCAAAGAGUUCACCAUGCAGAGCCUAAAUCUUUUUAUAUACAGGAAAAUACAACAAUUCAAUUUAUAUUUUUGUACAUUAUUUUUGUUUUUGUUGAUUAAAG